rnacentral:rRNA from 1 species
CAGCAGCCGCGGUAAUACCGGCGGCCCGAGUGGCGGUCACUAUUAUUGGGCUUAAAGCGUCCGUAGCCGGGGUGGGAAGUCCUCCGGGAAAUCUGGCCGCUUAACGGUCAGAAUGCCGGAGGAUACUCCCAGCCUAGGGAGCGGGAGAGGCCGAGGGGAUUCCCGGAGUAGGGGUGAAAUCCUAUAAUCCCGGGAGGACCACCUGUGGCGAAGGCGCUCGGCUGGAACGCGUCCGACGGUGAGGGACGAAGGCCAGGGGAGCAAACCGGAUUAGAUACCCGGGUAGUCCUGGCUGUAAACGAUGCGGACUUUGUGUCGGACAAGCUAUGAGCUUGUCCGGUGCCGGAGGGAAACCGUUAAGUCCGCCGCCUGGGGAGUACGGCCGCAAGGCUGUAACUUAAAGGAAUUGGCGGG